GCUCCAGUGGCCUAAUGGAAAGGCAUCGGCCUCCUAAGCCGAGGAUUGUGGGUUCGAGUCCCACCUGGAGUA
rfam:Drosophila willistoni strain TSC#14030-0811.24 scf2_1100000004521 genomic scaffold, whole genome shotgun sequence.